rnacentral:rRNA from 1 species
AUUGAACGCUGGCGGCAGGCCUAACACAUGCAAGUCGAACGAGUGGCGGACGUGUUAGUAAUGUCUGUGAAACUGCCUGAUGGAGGGGGACAACUACUGGAAACGGUAGCUAAUACCGCAUACCAUCAGCUGUGCCCAUGUGGGAUUAGCUUGUUGGUGGGGUAACGGCGCACCAAGGCGACUAUCUCUAGCUGGUCUGAGAGGAUGACCAGGCACACGGGAACGGAGACACGGUCCAGACUCCUACGGGAGGCAGCAGUGGGGAAUAUUGCACAAUGGGCGAAAGCCUGAUGCAGCCAUGCCGCGUGUAUGAAGAAGGCAUUCGGGUUGUAAAGUACUGUCAGCGGGGAGGCGUUACCCGCAGAAGAAGCACCGGCUAACUCCGUGCCAGCAGCCGCGGUAAUAC